rnacentral:rRNA from 1 species
GACGAACGCUGGCGGCGUGCCUAACACAUGCAAGUCGAACGGAACUGUUUUGAAAGAUUUCUUCGGAAUGAAUUUGAUUUAGUUUAGUGGCGGACGGGUGAGUAACGCGUGAGUAACCUGCCCUCAAGAGGGGAAUAACAUUCUGAAAAGAUUGCUAAUACCGCCUGACAUAUCGGAACCACAUGGUUUUGAUAUCAAAGAUUUUAUCGCUUGAAGAUGGACUCGCGUCCGAUUAGUCAGUUGGUGAGGUAACGGCGCACCAAGACCGCGAUCGGUAGCCGGACUGAGAGGUUGAGCGGCCACAUUGGGACUGAGACACGGCCCAGACACCUACGGGAGGCAGCAGUGGGGGAUAUUGCGCAAUGGGGGCAACCCUGACGCAGCAACGCCGCGUGAAGGAUGAAGGUUUUCGGAUUGUAAACUUCUUUUAUUAAGGACGAAAAAUGACGGUACUUAAUGAAUAAGCGCCGGCUAACUACGUG